rnacentral:sRNA from 1 species
UUGGGCCCUGGUAUGGAGAUUUUUUUUAUGUUUUUAUCAUGCGCAAGGUGUCUAAAGACUUAUUUUUUCACUUUUUAACCAGCUUAUUAAGAACUCUGUUAAUUGCAGUGAAUAAAUGUUGAAUAGUUAGUUAUGAUUUAGUUAUUUGUGAUAAUUACUUUGUUUAACUAAUGUAUUUCACCACUUUCAAGGUUUCUGCCACUUCCUGAGACACUAUAUCACAUGAUAUAGUGUGAUUAAGAAACAUCAAUUAGAGAAAUGCAACUUCUGUUGAGGGGUUUGGAUUGGUUCAUCCCCUCUACUACCAGCAUGGUGCUGGUGUGAGAGAGCUCUUUUGCCCCAGUGGUCUAACAGAUUAUGAGGCCUGUGUCAGUGCAAUCACUGCAAGGUGUGCUAACAUGCUAUCACAGGUUUGAAUCAGAGAUUAUCCAAAUAAAAAAGUCCUAUCCCACUAAUGCACAGUUCUUAAAAAGUCCGGACAAAAUAAGUGCUUAGUCACUCUGAAUCCUUGGACCAGAACAAACAAGGGCCUAGUUCCCCAGCUGACCACUAAGAAAAAAAAAAAAAAAAAAAAAUUGGCAGUGGAAGGGUAGAACAAAGACAGACCUGGUUCUCAGCUAGUCAAGAUGAGUAGUUGUGAGUCUGUGGGGGGGUGUUGAGGGGUUUGGAUUGGUUCGUCCCCUCUACUAUCAGCAUGGUGCUCUUUUGCCCCAGUGAUCUAACAACUUCAACCUCAAUCAUAUAAGUAGCUGAGUCAGCAUCUGUUGCUAGAGUAUUAGUCAUCAGUUGAGAACUUGAGAAAUAUUCUUCUUUUUCUUUUCUAACAGUAAAUAGAUAAAUAUUAUUUCUAGUUAUUUUAAAGUCUGUGUAUAAUUUCUAGAUAUAACUUACAUCUCUAUAUUAAUUAGAGUAGCCGCUGGGUGCUACCGAGUCUCUAACUUAGCAAGCUUCUCACUGAAUAU